ACGGGAUGGUUAGAGAUGCCUUGCCAAGGAGAACACCCUUAUGAUGGAUAAGUAAAAGUUUCCUAGGCAGACAAGGUGAGGAAGGCCAUUCCAGCCAUAAAGGACAUCAUGCGUUUUACCUGGAAAGCAGUGAAGGAGCUGAAUCUCCAGUCUGGAUUAUAAGGUGUCAAGAUCAUCUUCAUCAUCAUCUUCAGCUGCCCAUUUGACCGUAGCUAUUACAGGAAAGU